AUGUCAAAAGCCCACAAUAUUUCUCCCCAAAACCCUAACCCUUCACUGACCCCAUCGUAUAUAAAUACGACCACGAAGCUGCAAGUCUAAUAGAUUCUCACUCUGAUUUCUCCUAAGCCGUAGCCUAGUGUUUCUUCCCCUGCAGUUACUCCUCCGCCACCGCCUACCAAUGGUACUCUCCUUAACCAUGGUGAUACUCUUGUAUUUUUGAUUUGUUUUAGUUAUGAUUUGAAAGCUUCUUUAUCUGGUUGGCAAAAGAUUAUCUAUUUUUGACCAACUCGUUCCCUAGAAGCUAUAGUGUGUGUGUUGCUCCUUUUUAUAUUCUCCUUCAUUAACCCCUUUUUUCAUUUGUGUUUGGAUUACACUGGGGCAGCUACAUUUUUUUAAACAAAAUUAUAUGAUAGGGGUGAACAACAGUGAUGAGCCAUUAUACAGACACAGACCUGUAAUGAUUUGCGAAAAUGAUCGCAAUUUAUGAACAUCUAAGGGACUGAGUUUGUUCACCUUGUUCUAAUUACUCCAUAUAUUUUGAAUAUACUGCCGUUUAAGAUUAAUUAUCUUUUGAAGUUUUUUAAUGAAUGAGAAUGUGUGGAACAACGAUGAUGAGCUAUUUAUACAGACACAGACCUGUAAUGAUUUGCGAAAAUGAUCGCAAUUUAUGAACAUCUAAGGGACUGAGUUUUUCCACUCAAUUCCAAUUUUUUAAUCUAAACUGUGCUUUAUUUGUUCAAUUUUAUUCAAAAGUUUGUGACUUUUAUUUGAAAUAUGCUUUGCAUAUCUAUUUAUUUAUUGGGUCACACAUUGCCGUGUGGCACUUUGACAAGUGAAGCUAAAAAGAAUGUUCCUCUCGCUAUCCUUUGCUCCUUUUAUGGUGUAUUUGGACGUUGGGGUACUACAUUGUUUAUGUUCAUUUCUCAGAAGUAGGAUGGUCUAUUUUCCUGUUAAUUUCAAAGCAUUAAUUAGAUUGUAGCCAACAUAAAUAUGGUAAAACAAUGAAGUAAAAUUUGUGAUCUAUUAUCCUACUGAAUAUUGAAGCUCUUAAUUGUGUUUUGUGCCUAUUAUAUUACGGAAUAUUGUGUUGUAGUAUUUUUUUGGCUCCGAUGCUUCGCUAUCUGGUUGGCAAAAUUCAAUUAUUUUUGACCGACUCGUUCCCUUGAAGCAAAAGUGAUCGUGAUGCUCUGUAUUAAUAUCUCUGUUCGUAUACUCAUUUCUAUUUGUGUUUGGAGAAUACCGGCGCAUCUACAUGUUAUUAUUUUAAUUUAUUUAUAGAAGUUUUUUAUUAUUACUUCAUUCUGGAAUAAUACAGUUUUUAAUUUUACAUGCUUUAACUUAUUGAAAAGUAUUUUGGGCCACACAGUAUUAUUGCACUUAAGGCUUUUGCCUUUUAAGCUUUUAGGAUCACAUGUAUCAAAAUAAUAUAUAGUCAGCUUAACAUAAUUCUGGCUAAGGGAUUUUUGGUUCCGCCCUUCCUUACAUACAUGUAAUAAUUUGUUAAUGACUAAUUUUGCUGUGAUACUCUGCCCCUGCAGGUAGGUAAUGUCUGAUUAAUUUUGCUCUGUGGAAGGGAGAUGCUAAUGUAUCUUUGUAUUGUACGUUGUCCAGUUAGUCUCUGUCCCGAAUUCUUAUGAUGCCUUUCUUAACUGAGUUGGACGUUGUGGGAGCUAUAUUAGUAUGUUCAUCUCUUAGAAUUAGAUGUGAGAUUAGAUUGUGGUCAUUUUCAGUUAAACUGUAGAUUUUAUGUCACUAAUUAAUAACGUUGCAUUGUCUUUCAAUCGCUUGGUGUUAGAAUCGAUAAGAUAGAUUUAGAGCGUAAAUAAAUUAGAGAUGAACUGUUUAAAAUUUUCUAAGCCUAUAGAAAUGCACUAAUGAGCAAUAGUCAGCUUUGCCACAUAAUGGCUUUUGUGGAUGAGUUUGGGUAUUGUAUUAUCGCAGGUCGUGCUACUCCGUUUUUGGGCGUGAUAAUCCGGGUCUGGUGGCUAGACCCAUAUGGAAGGGAUAGGUUGUAGCAUACAAAAACAUAAGAAUUAGGCAGAAU
rnacentral:lncRNA from 1 species